ACGUAGGUGGCAAGCGUUGUCCGGAUUUACUGGGUGUAAAGGGCGUGCAGCCGGGCCGGCAAGUCAGAUGUGAAAUCUGGAGGCUUAACCUCCAAACUGCAUUUGAAACUGUAGGUCUUGAGUACCGGAGAGGUUAUCGGAAUUCCUUGUGUAGCGGUGAAAUGCGUAGAUAUAAGGAAGAACACCAGUGGCGAAGGCGGAUAACUGGACGGCAACUGACGGUGAGGCGCGAAAGCGUGGGGAGCAAACAG
rnacentral:rRNA from 1 species